CCCACCAUGUAAUAUCACAAUGCCCCGCCCAUAUGGGCCAACGCCAGUCUUCACAAAGUGUCUUUUAUCUGAAAAGACAGUGUGUUUACAUUAAAAAGCCUACAGGCACAGGCUAUAGACACCAGAACCACUACAUUAUGCAGUAGUGCUUCUGGUGACUAUAGUAUCCAUUUAAUGUGAGAUUAGUGCCACUAAUAAUAUAUUGGAUUGCCUACUUACCACCAGAUGAGGACAAGAGGCUGAUGAUGGGCUCUGUCUGGCUCCACAGGUCUGGUGUAGAAGAGGCUCUCUGGAGACUGUUUUUAACAGUGCUCACAACAAUUAACGAACAGGAAGCAGCUCCAUUUUUUAGGGCCCCUUACACAGCUCAAGGUCUGGGCCCCCAGGGCUUGACCAUGAGUAUGCCUACAAUGCCCACCCAUAAAUACCUACAUGGCCCACCCAUGAGUUCUCUCACAGGAAGUGUAGUGUAUGUGUGUAGGGGAUGUUUUAUGUGUUAUUGUAGAGGAUGCAAUGUGUGUGUGUUCUUAUAGAAUGUAGUGUAUAGGGAUACCAAUUUGUAUAAGGGAUGUAGUGUGUUUAUAGGGGAUGCAGUGUGUGUUUACGCGUAAGGAAUGCAUUGUAUGUUUCUGUGUGUGUAAGGGGUGCAAGGUGUGUUUCUGUGUAUGUAAUUGAAUGCAGUGUGUGUCUGUAAGGGGUGCAUUGAUUGUGUAAGAGAUGCAUUUUGUUUCUGUGUGUAAGAGAAUG